AACGAACGCUGGCGGCAGGCUUAACACAUGCAAGUCGAGCGCCCCGCAAGGGGAGCGGCAGACGGGUGAGUAACGCGUGGGAAUCUACCCAUCACUACGGAACAACUCCGGGAAGCUGGAGCUAAUACCGUAUACGUCCUUCGGGAGAAAGAUUUAUCGGUGAUGGAUGAGCCCGCGUUGGAUUAGCUAGUUGGUGGGGUAAUGGCCUACCAAGGCAACGAUCCAUAGCUGGUCUGAGAGGAUGAUCAGCCACACUGGGACUGAGACACGGCCCAGACUCCUACGGGAGGCAGCAGUGGGGAAUAUUGGACAAUGGGCGAAAGCCUGAUCCAGCCAUGCCGCGUGGGUGAUGAAGGCCCUAGGGUUGUAAAGCCCUUUCAGCGGGGAAGAUAAUGACGGUACCCGCAGAAGAAGCCCCGGCUAACUUCGUGCCAGCCGCCGCAGUAACAC
rnacentral:rRNA from 1 species